ensembl:lncRNA
GUGGUAGAUUUGGCUCCUGUAUGAAACUUUAAAGUUUGUUUGUUAUUUAUUUCUUUUCUGUUAUCUCAGCUGUCUCGACUUGCCCGUACAUGUCCACCGGAAAUGAAUAUUCAUGAGGGCAGAGCGCGAGAUCUGGACACUACAGCAGCAUCGCUAACGGAGAGUUGAUGAAACCGAGUCCAGUGUGUGUGAGAGUGAGGAUUUCACCGACAGUGAACAUUAAAAUGUGUGUAUGGUAUAAUGUUUGAGUUCUUCUGCGAUGGAGGAAAGUUUGUGGUGCGAGAAAACCUCCUCCAGCGUCAUAUCUACUUUACCGGUGUGGAUAAUUGAAUAUGCCUGGACUAACCGGAUGAUGGAGGUGUUACAGGGUAUGUGUUACAGGGUAUGUGUUACAGGGUAUGUGUUACAGGGUACAUGUUACAGGGUAUGUGCUACAUAUGUUUAGUGCCGAAACGAGUGUAUCAGCUACAGCUGUGUUACUGACUUUAGUAUAGGGCUGCACGAUUGUGGCCAAAAUGUUCAUCAUGAUUAUUUUGAUCAACAUUGAGAUCACGAUUCCAUCCAUCUUCUAUACCACUUACUCCUUUUCAGGGUCACGGGGAAACCUGGAGCCUAUCCCAGGGAGCAUCGGGCACAAGGCAGGGUACACCCUGGACAGGGUUUUUUUAAAAUCACGAUUAUUCAUUGAUUUUAGGGACAACAUAUUUUUUUAUUGCACUUUCACAUUUAAAUAAACAGACCACUGCUUUCACCAGUAUGUUGUGCUACAUUCCUGUUAAUGUACAAAUCUUUGCAUCAAAUUAGACUGGUCCUUAAAGUGCAUCAUCUCGUAGAAGCAAAAUAUAAAUAAAAUUGUACCCAAAAUAAUAGGAUGAGUAAAAAUGAAAAUGGCAUCAAUCAAAUAUAACAAUAUGCAACCAAAUGAAAAUAUGCAGGUCUAUGCAGAAAAGGCAAUAACCGUGUUUACCUGAGGAGAGACGCAGCCAAAUCACCCAUUAGAGCGGUGACGCAGGGAUGAUGUCAUUUUGUACCGAAACCCA